AACGAACGCUGGCGGCAGGCUUAACACAUGCAAGUCGAGCGCCCCGCCAGGGGAGCGGCAGACGGGUGAGUAACGCGUGGGAACGUACCUUUUGGUUCGGAACAACUCCGGGAAACUGGAGCUAAUACCGGAUAAGCCCUAACGGGGAAAGAUUUAUCGCCGAAAGAUCGGCCCGCGUCUGAUUAGCUAGUUGGUGAGGUAACGGCUCACCAAGGCGACGAUCAGUAGCUGGUCUGAGAGGAUGAUCAGCCACACUGGGACUGAGACACGGCCCAGACUCCUACGGGAGGCAGCAGUGGGGAAUAUUGGACAAGGGGCGCAAGCCUGAUCCAGCCAUGCCGCGUGAGUGAUGAAGGCCUUAGGGUUGUAAAGCUCUUUUGUCCGGGAAGAUAAUGACUGUACCGGAAGAAUAAGCCCCGGCUAACUUCGUG
rnacentral:rRNA from 1 species